AAGAGUUAGGGUCUUCCAGGCCCGACCUCCCAACCCUAUGUUUACUGAGCCUCUCGUUGCUUCGGCGGACCCGUCUCACGACCGCCGGAGGACUGCUUAAAGGCGUCCUCUGGCCAGCGUCCGCCGAUGGCCAACCAUUGAAACUCUGAAUAAAUCGUGUCUCUAUCUCUAAGUCUUAUUUAAAAUAAAAGCA
rnacentral:misc_RNA from 1 species